rnacentral:rRNA from 1 species
GUCUACGGCCAUGCCACCCUGAACACACCCGAAAUUGUCUGAUCUCGGAAGCUAAGUAGGGUCGGGCCUGGUUAGUACUUGAAUGGGAGAUCACCUAGGAAUACUAGGUGCUGUAGGCU